AAGUCGUAACAAGGUUUCCGUAGGUGAACCUGCGGAAGGAUCAUUAACACGUAUCCAAACGUUAAACCCCCCUGUGAACCUUCAGUCGUACUCGUACGUCCGUUAGAAAAACGUCCCUGCAAGGAGCGUGCAUGUUGUGCGUGUAAGUUGCCUGGCAUCCCCAAGCAGUUAGUGUCUGAAAGUGUCACUAACGUUAGUGUCUGAAAGUGUCACUAACAUGUGUAAGGAUGACGCAGUCACGAUCGUUGGAGGCCCACACGGCCGACGACCGGGUCACUGGGUGCAAGCCCCCUUAUCACACCCCUGCUCUAUCUAUGGUGAUCCUGCGGGAAGUCCUGCGGUCGAACGCCGAAACCGAACAACUGUUAACAAUGGAUAUCUUGGUUCUC
rnacentral:misc_RNA from 1 species